rnacentral:lncRNA from 1 species
CACUCAAGAAAGCUUUCAGAUUUGUAGGAGCCAUACAAAAAAGGAAGCAUUGGGACACCUUGUUUUUUUUCCAAUGAGAAAUCACUGCAGGGCAGGCAGCGUCAAUUCGAGGCAGGAGACCAGCACCACGGGACAGAAAGAUCCAACACCUUUGUAGGAUUGGAAGAGACUGAUGAUUAUUUUUUUAAUUUUUCUGGCUUUGCAAAAUUUUGACCUGACCAAACACAUGAAGGCAUUCAAGGAGGGGAUAAAACUCCCAGGAGGCGGAAGCAGGUUUUCAUUUUUAAGAUGCAAUACUAUAGACUCCUGACUGUGAAAUGGCGGAUUUGGUCCUCCGUUGCCCACCAGGCGCUGACAUCGAUAUGCUAUGCAAACUAAGUGCUGAGCCCACUGAUGUCAUGUUUUGUGAAGAUCCUACGUUUAGCACAGUCCUGUUUUUCCCUCAAGACUACAGUAUUUGGUUCAUAUUCUCCUUUGCACCUUGUGUCAACCUCCACUGCUGUAUAUCUGCAAGGUGACGGGGAGGAGACCAGGAACUAUUCAUGGUCAGUAGGGUAGUGAACUCCUAGGAAGGCUUUUAGAGCGUAGGGAAUGCAUCAACACUAAGUGUCAACAUGAGAAGCCUACAUUCCUGUACACAAGUGCCUGCAUAGUGACACAAAUCCAGCACCUCCAUCUCAUCCUCAGAACUCGGGCUUGUGUUUGUUGAAAGCAAAAUGAUCUCAGAGGGGCUGUACCCACUCACCUUGUGUUAGAAAGCCCCUCGUUAAGAAUAAAAUCGGGGUUAAGGUCAAGGUUCUCUCUGCAAAUCAGUUUGUUCACCAGCAUUACAAUGGAAAGCACCUGGCUGCUCUUCUGCAGCGAGGGGCAAAGGUAUUUUGGUUUCUAGUUUUUAUUUUAGUGUUUUAGUUGGGUCUAGAAUUCUGAAAUGUCUUUUAGUAGCUGUGGCAUAGCACGUGCCAUUUUUAACCAUUUGAAAAGAGAUAGUGUGGGCAUUUACAGAAACAGCUUGUUGCUCUGUAACAAUUUUUUUUUAACCUUGAGACUUGAAAUGUAAAAUGGACCUUUAAGAUUUGCACUCAUUUGUAAGGUGGCUGUUCAUAGAAAACUAUGAAUGAAGACUCGCUGAUGUAGCACCUACUUUUAACAGCAAUUUUAACUACACAAAAGCUUCACAGCUUCUGAAACACUCAGCUGUUGACUUGCAGAUCGUGUUCUGCCCUUAUUUCACCGUCUGCGUUGGGUUUUCAUGGUUUUGAAUAAAUAAAAAAGCCAAACUCAGUAGCUGCUGUGCCCUUUAAACCCUAUUUCCAUUUUGAAGAAAUUGAGAAGGGGUUUGAGUUACCCGCAUGUUUUGUAUAACGGACUAUGCACUGUACCUUCUACGCGGCUCCAGCAUUCAGCAUUUCUACCCUUUUCUUGUCCGAGAUGCAAACGAGUAACUGCAUGUUGAGGUGCUGUGCGUUUUGCUACCCGUAGCGGAUAGUGUUAACCCGGAUACAUAUCAGGAUUUGUAGUUAGCCACAAACCCCCCACGGACAUCCCGAAUGGCUCCCGAGUCUCUGCCUUCUCCGUGCGCACGUGUUCCUUCUGCAACUGGAAACAUCGCCAGGUGCAUGCAGUUUUGUGGGAAGAGGAGUAACUUUCAUUUACCUGUCAGUUGUUGAAUGCUGUUUGUUUCCCUUAUCUCGUAUCUGAACGUAGCGGGGCCGAGGGCCGAGGGGGCAGAGCAGCCCUCUCUCCCCCCAGAGCUUGCAGGGGCGGUCGGGGUGUCCUGGUGUUCGCAAGCCUACGACCCGAUGUCUUAGUCUCAAAAAGCCCAAGCGUUCAACGUUGCCUCGCGGAAGGUUUUCUUCUUGGAAAAUUAGUGUGAAAUAAAAGAAUGUGAUUCUUUCAGGAAGGGAAGCCAGACAGCAGGACAGCAAUAAACAAGUGAAAUUCAUAUCUUGCCUGAGUGAUUUGCACUUCAAUAGUUGUGAAAGAAAAUUUACGGGACUCCAGUGCUUUUGUGUUCAAUUUCUAGCCCCUUUCGUACCUCCUUUAUACGAGCAAGUGUUGAACUGUACAUGGGGUGUUCACAAGACACUCUUAUUUUUCUUGUGGGUUUUUUUUUUUUUGCUUUAGCUUGAACUCUGUAUGGUCCAUUUGUUAAAUAGACGUGAACAGUUGAUGUACAGUACUUACUAAACAAGCAGCAGCACAAAACUUAUUUUAUUAAGAAAAUAUGGCUUAUAUUUUAAAGGUUGAAUAUCAAAUUUUUUUUUUGUAUGCGUGGAGUUAAGACUGGUAAAGAGUAACAAAAUCCUUGGAUUAGGCCAAAAGGAAAUACUGUAAGAUCAUAACCACCUCUUUAUUAAAGAAAACGGUAUGAUUAAAGAGCUCCAGAACAUUGUAUUUAUAUUUGAUUUGAUUUGAUUGUGGAUUUUUUUAAAUAUUUUUUUUUUUGCCUCGGUCCUGAUUUUUGCUUGCAACUUUGACUUUGCAGUCCCAAGUGUCUGUUACCCUGUAACUGUUGGCAGAAGACCUAAAUAAAAGCAAUGUGAAUAUGUUGGGGUGACACUCCUGAGUCAGAUUGCGUGGGGAAGGUACGUGCGCAGGCCUGGCCGCUGGCUCGGGAAGGGCUUGGGGAGAGAUGGUGAAGUGCUGUGGCUGAGCUGUGUCAGGUACGGCGGAGGAUCCAAAACCCCUCACUCUCCAGAUUUCAGUCGAAUGGGAGAAACACUUAAGCGAAUAAAUAUGCGCUUAAAACUUCUUAGAACGUGGUAGCCAGUUCUACUUUUUAUUAAAAUGUCAUCUGAGAACUGACCGGAUUUGAGCUCCUUGGGUUGUUGGAUGCCAGAAGCGUGCACCCAAAUGUGCUGCUGCUUCUGCAGCUACGUGUGCUUCGGGGGCUGUGAAGGGCUGUUGGCUCCAAGGUGCUUUCGGGACAGGUUUUGAUUCCUUUUGGAGUGGGGUUAAACUUGAUCCUCUGGGUUUCUGUACCGCGUCAUGUUUACAGUUCCCAGCGCUGGAAUUCCUUCCAGACAUCCUAGUCCUCUCCAACGCCAACAGCUCAUGGUUGUGUCUCAGGGUCCAAAACUGGAGGUUGGUUGCCAUCCUCUGAAUUCUUUGGAUCUGCUUGUGCUUUACCUUGCAAACGUGCAUUGACAUACCUUUAGACGAUGAAUUAUUUAGCAGUUGAGCCGUAACGGGGUUUUUGAAUAAUGCUAAGCAAUUUUAAGGAAGUGCUUGCUAAUGGCAUGCACGUACUCGCUGGCUAAUUUCCUCAGACUGGAGCACGCACGGUGUAUUGUGCCGAACCGAGCACCUGUGCAGACCCUGCACACGUCCUCCUGCUGCUUUUAAGGUUAUAGCACAUUUUUUAAAACGAGUCCUACUAGAUAACAGAAAUCUUCCCUUGCAGUUUCAAGGGGAUGUUUCUGAGAGAGGGGUAUAACAGAAACCUUGUGCAGCUGGGUCUGGAGUCCUGGAAAACAGGUCGGACUCCUUGGUUUCAGAUGUUAGGCUGGCAUUUGAGCCCUGGCCCUUGUUUCUGAUUACAGCGGCCUAAGCUGCAGAACCAGAAGUGCUUGCGUGCCUCUAAGGUAUGUGCAUUUUGCAGAGAUGUCUCCCUCUACCAUAUCUGCUUGAUCUUGGUGAUCAUAUUUCCCCUUCCCUCUCAGGAUUUCAGUUAAGGAAAUAUUCUAGUAGCUUACUUCUACUUUGCAUGGUUUUAGAAUCCUUACUGUGUAGCUUACCUGAUAACUAAAUUUACACAUUUUAAGAUGAA